rnacentral:rRNA from 1 species
UUUGAUCCUGGCUCAGGAUGAACGCUGGCGGCGUGCUUAACACAUGCAAGUCGAACGAUGAUGCUGGUGCUUGCACUGGUGGAUUAGUGGCGAACGGGUGAGUAUCACGUGAGUAACCUUCCCUUGACUCUGGGAUAAGCCCGGGAAACUGGGUCUAAUACCGGAUAUGACUGGUCUCCGCAUGGGGGCUGGUGGAAAGCUUUUGCGGUUUUGGAUGGACUCGCGGCCUAUCAGUUUGUUGGUGAGGUAAUGGCUUACCAAGACGAUGACGGGUAGCCGGCCUGAGAGGGUGACCGGCCACACUGGGACUGAGACACGGCCCAGACUCCUACGGGAGGCAGCAGUGGGGAAUAUUGCACAAUGGGCGCAAGCCUGAUGCAGCGACGCCGCGUGCGGGAUGACGGCCUUCGGGUUGUAAACCGCUUUCAGCAAGGAAGAAGCUUUUUGUGACGGUACUUGCAGAAGAAGCGCCGGCUAACUACGUGCCAGCAGCCGCGGUAAUACGUAGGGCGCGAGCGUUAUCCGGAAUUAUUGGGCGUAAAGAGCUCGUAGGCGGUUUGCCACGUCUGCUGUGAAAGCCCGGGGCUCAACCUCGGGUGUGCAGUGGGUACGGGUAGGCUGGAGUGCAGUAGGGGAGACUGGAAUUCCUGGUGUAGCGGUGAAAUGCGCAGAUAUCAGGAGGAACACCGAUGGCGAAGGCAGGUCUCUGGGCUGUUACUGACGCUGAGGAGCGAAAGCAUGGGGAGCGAACAGGAUUAGAUACCCUGGUAGUCCAUGCCGUAAACGUUGGGCACUAGGUGUGGGGGACAUUCCACGUUUUCCGCGCCGUAGCUAACGCAUUAAGUGCCCCGCCUGGGGAGUACG